AACGAACGCUGGCGGCAUGCCUAACACAUGCAAGUCGAACGAGACCUUCGGGUCUAGUGGCGCACGGCUGCGUAACGCGUGGGAACCUGCCCUUAGGUUCGGAAUAACUCCCCGAAAGGGGUGCUAAUACCGGAUAAUGUCUUCGGACCAAAGAUUUAUCGCCUUUGGAUGGGCCCGGGUUGGAUUAGCUAGUUGGUAGGGUAAAAGCCUACCAAGGCGACGAUCCAUAGCUGGUCUGAGAGGAUGAUCAGCCAGACUGGGGCUGCGACACGGCCCAGACUCCUACGGGAGGCAGCAGUGUGGAAUAUUGGACACUGGGCGAAAGCCUGAUCCAGCAAUGCCGCGUGAGAGAUGAAUGCCUUAGGGUUGUAAAGCUCUUUUACCCGGGAUGUUAAUGACAGUACCGGGAGAAUAAGCUCCGGCUAACUCCGUG
rnacentral:rRNA from 1 species